GACGAACGCUGGCGGCGUGCCUAACACAUGCAAGUCGAACGGGGAAGCGCCGUCCUUUUUGGUGGGUGUGGAUGAGUGGCGAAAGGGUGAGUAACACGUGAGUAACCUGCCCCGUUCUUCGGGAUAACAGCAUGAAAGUUCGGCUAAUACGGGAUAUUCUGGCUCUGUCGCAUCAUGGGUCUGGGAAAGAUAUUGUUUCGGUAGGGGAUGGGCUCGCGGCCGAUCAGGUGGUGGGUGGGGUGGUGGCCUACCAAGGCUGUGACGGGUAGCCGGCCUGAGAGGGUGGACUGUCUCAGCUGGGAGGAGGCGCGGCCACGCCUGCUGUGGGAGGCAGCAGGGAGUACUACUGGACGCUGGAGGGAAGAAUGAUGCAGCGACGCCGCAGGAGUGAUGGAGGCCUGCGGGUUGAGAACCUCUUUCGUGAGUGAAGCAAAGCUGUCUUAUUUGUGGGUGUGUUGACGGUACCUGGAGAAUAAGCGCCGGCUAACUACGUG
rnacentral:rRNA from 1 species